UGAUUAGUUGUUUGUCUGUCCGACUUCCCCUUUGUUACAAGUCUCUGUGGGGAUGAUCUGGCUUUGUCAUCCCUGUGUCCCCGGAGCACCUCCUGUACCUGUUCAGCUCCCAUGAGCACCUGGUGGGACUGUCAGAAGCAGCAGAGACACCAAAUUCCUGAGCAAAGUUAGCUAAGCUGAGAGAGAGAGGCCACGUAAGAGGAAGGAGGAGGAAACUCACCAUCUGAGGCAGAGGACGACUCAUCCUCGUCAUCAUCCUCCCACCGGGACUGAAAGUCUCCAGGACGAAGCAGCACUCUGUCUGACUUUGAAGUGGGCAGGACAGACAUGGACUGGGAGAGUGGCGUUUUCUGCAGGUUGGACUUGGAAAACAAGGUCUUGAUCUUUGACUUCUUCUUCUUGUCUUUGGAAGGAGACUCGUCAUCACUGUCCGCCGCGGGUGCCACGCUGGGGACGAUGGCUGAUGCGGUAUCUGAUGCGCUGUCCUUGUUCUUCGCCUUGAUUUUGUCCUUCAGUUUCCCAAACGGAUUCCGAGACUUGUCUUUCACGGAGAGGUCAAACAUGCUAGCGGUCAUGUUGUUUCUCAUAAACUGGAUGUCAACCUCAAUUUCUCCUCGCUCUUUAUCCUUCUUUCCUGGUUUGGAUUUCAAGGUAUACCACCUACAAGGAGAAAGGCUGAGAGGUCACCUUUGAACUGAAGGGCUGCCACAAUGUUCACAGCCACCCCUCUCCCCCAUACAGACGCAGCCCAGCCUCUCUUCUUUGGUGGGGAGGACAGAACUUACAGCUUUACUUCUGAGAAGACACCCCCUGGGCAAAGAUGGGAUCUGACCCUCUACUUAGUGUGUAGUCACCUAAAAUCUUGAUUCAAUAAAGAGGUAUUUCUAAGAACAAAAUAAACAUUCCAUCAGAUCA